rnacentral:lncRNA from 1 species
AUUUUGGUGAAAUUGCCUCAACAGUUUGCCAACCUUGGUUCCUCUCAAAGGUCAACAUACCUUCCUUGAAAUAUCUUCCUAGACUGAAGUCGCUUGAGUCAUCAACUCCUACCGCAAUUUCUCCAAUGGGAAGACACAACACCUUUUCCACGAUUGUUCCAUCAAUCCCGAUAAUUCGUCCUUGUACCAGACUCAAUCCAUCCUCUAGGUCGUAAUUUACGAUAUAUUCCUCCACUAAUGAUACAUUAAUUGAUGGUAAGUAAUAUGACAGGUGCAAAAACUGGAACAACUAUGCAUUCUAAAAGUCUUUUAUUCUUUUUGGUGUCCAGCAGAUAUCCAACUUCAUCAGCUCCAUAUUGGUAACAAUUAUC